GAACUAACGUGAGCCCNACUGUCUCUUUUAUGAACACUUAACUUAACCUCUAGGUGAAAAGGCCUAGAUAAAACUAAUAGACAAGAAGACCCUAUCGAGCUUUAUUGCUNAGUCUCUAUUUAAACUAUUUCAAACCAUAAUAACUUUUUAUAGAACCUACGCCAUUUUGUUGGGGCAACAAAGGAACAACCAAAGCUUCCUAAUAACAAAAUAAAUAAACCAAUGACCCAAGAAACUGAUCAAAGGAAAAAUGCUACCGUAGGGAUAACAGGUUAAUUUUUCUCGAGAGCCCACAUCAACAGAAAAGUUUGGCACCUCG
rnacentral:rRNA from 1 species